GUUAGUGGCGCACGGGUGCGUAACGCGUGGGAAUCUGCCCCUUGCUUCGGAAUAACAGUUAGAAAUGACUGCUAAUACCGGAUGAUGACUUCGGUCCAAAGAUUUAUCGGCAAGGGAUGAGCCCGCGUAGGAUUAGGUAGUUGGUGGGGUAAAGGCCUACCAAGCCGACGAUCCUUAGCUGGUCUGAGAGGAUGAUCAGCCACACUGGGACUGAGACACGGCCCAGACUCCUACGGGAGGCAGCAGUGGGGAAUAUUGGACAAUGGGCGCAAGCCUGAUCCAGCAAUGCCGCGUGAGUGAUGAAGGCCUUCGGGUCGUAAAGCUCUUUUACCAGGGAUGAUAAUGACAGUACCUGGAGAAUAAGCUCCGGCUAACUCCGUGCCAGCAGCCGCGGUAAUACGGAGGGAGCUAGCGUUGUUCGGAAUUACUGGGCGUAAAGCGCACAUAGGCGG
rnacentral:rRNA from 1 species